rnacentral:rRNA from 1 species
AAAUAGCUGCAAUAUUUCAAUUGUACAAAGGUAGCAUAAUCAUUUGUCUUUUAAUUGAAGGAUUGAAUGAAAGAUUAAAUAAAAUAUAAACUAUAUAAAUUUAAUAAAAAUUCAAAUUUUAUUUUUAAGUAAAAAAUCUUAAAUGAAAUUAUUAGACGAUGAGACCCUAUAGAACUUUAUAUAUUAUAAAUUUGAAUAAAAAUUUUAUUCUUCAAAUUAAUAAUUAUAUUAUAUUGUAUUGGGGGUAUUAAAAAAUUGAAAUAAUUCUUUUAUAAAAAUUAUCAUUAAAUUCAUGAAAUAUUAAAAAGAG